rnacentral:rRNA from 1 species
UCCUGUUCCUUUAUUGAAAGAUGGCUUCGGCUAUCACUUACAGAUGGGCCCGCGGCGCAUUAGCUAGUUGGUGAGGUAACGGCUCACCAAGGCGACGAUGCGUAGCCGACCUGAGAGGGUGAUCGGCCACACUGGGACUGAGACACGGCCCAGACUCCUACGGGAGGCAGCAGUAGGGAAUCUUCCGCAAUGGACGAAAGUCUGACGGAGCAACGCCGCGUGAGCGAUGAAGGCCUUCGGGUCGUAAAGCUCUGUUGUUAGGGAAGAAUAAGUGCUAGUUGAAUAAGCUGGCACCUUGACGGUACCUAACCAGAAAGCCACGGCUAACUACGUGCCAGCAGCCGCGGUAAUACGUAGGUGGCAAGCGUUGUCCGGAAUUAUUGGGCGUAAAGCGCGCGCAGGCGGUUUCUUAAGUCUGAUGUGAAAGCCCCCGGCUCAACCGGGGAGGGUCAUUGGAAACUGGGAAACUUGAGUGCAGAAGAGGAAAGUGGAAUUCCAAGUGUAGCGGUGAAAUGCGUAGAGAUUUGGAGGAACACCAGUGGCGAAGGCGACUUUCUGGUCUGUAACUGACGCUGA